AGGAUGAACGCUGGCGGUCUGCUUAACACAUGCAAGUCGAACGGAGUACCUCGGUACUUAGUGGCGGACGGGUGAGUAACGCGUGAGAAUCUGCCCUUAGGUCGGGGACAACCAUUGGAAACGAUGGCUAAAUACCGGAUAAGCCGAGAGGUAAAAGAUUAAUUGCCUAGGGAAGAGCUCGCGUCUGAUUAGCUAGUUGGUGAGGUAAAGGCUCACCAAGGCAUCGAUCAGUAGCUGGUCUGAGAGGAUGAUCAGCCACACUGGGACUGAGACACGGCCCAGACUCCUACGGGAGGCAGCAGUGGGGAAUUUUGGACAAUGGGCGAAAGCCUGAUCCAGCCAUUCCGCGUGAGUGAAGAAGGCCUUCGGGUUGUAAAGCUCUUUCGCAAGAGAAGAAACUUAUCCUCUAACAUAGGUGAGGUUGACGGUAUCUUGAUAAGAAGCACCGGCUAACUACGUGCCAGCGGCCGCGGU
rnacentral:rRNA from 1 species